UACGAAGGGGGCUAGCGUUGCUCGGAAUUACUGGGCGUAAAGCGCACGUAGGCGGCUCUUUAAGUCGGGGGUGAAAUCCUGGAGCUCAACUCCAGAACUGCCUUCGAUACUGUAGAGCUUGAGUUCGGGAGAGGUGAGUGGAACUGCGAGUGUAGAGGUGAAAUUCGUAGAUAUUCGCAAGAACACCAGUGGCGAAGGCGGCUCACUGGCCCGAUACCGACGCUGAGGUGCGAAAGCGUGGGGAGCAAACAGG
rnacentral:rRNA from 1 species